AACGAACGCUGGCGGCAUGCCUAACACAUGCAAGUCGAACGAGACCUUCGGGUCUAGUGGCGCACGGGUGCGUAACGCGUGGGAACCUGCCCUUAGGUUCGGAAUAACUCCCCGAAAGGGGUGCUAAUACCGGAUAAUGUCUUCGGACCAAAGAUUUAUCGCCUUUGGAUGGGCCCGCGUUGGAUUAGCUAGUUGGUAGGGUAAAAGCCUACCACGGCGACGAUCCAUAGCUGGUCUGAGAGGAUGAUCAGCCACACUGGGACUGAGACACGGCCCAGACUCCUACGGGAGGCAGGAGUGGGGAAUAUUGGACAAUGGGCGAAAGCCUGAUCCAGCAAUGCCGCGUGAGUGAUGAAGGCCUUAGGGUUGUAAAGCUCUUUUAACCGGGAUGAUAAUGACAGUACCGGGAGAAUAAGCUCCGGCUAACUCCGUG
rnacentral:rRNA from 1 species